rnacentral:lncRNA from 1 species
UACUAUCCGAUCUUCCAAGUUAGGUCCGGUUAUUAAUGUAGUUACCUAUAUUAGGUGCCGUUUGAUUUCCGUGAUCCCUCUAGCUUUGCUUGGUUGUUGUUCAAGACUUCUAAGCACCCUCAACAUAUGGACACGUACAAUAGUUGAUGAUAUUUGAUGAUGAUAUUGGUGUAUGCUCACAUAGGAAUGGACGAGGCCUUAGUGACUUAAUAA